rnacentral:lncRNA from 1 species
AAGGUCAGCAGUGGCCAGCCUCUCUCAUGCCUUCCUUCUCUUCCUCCCUAGGUGGUUGCAAACCCUGAUCCACAUAGUAAAAUGCAACAUCGACUUGCGGCUCCUGAGGCUGCCCCACUCAUGAAGAAUGUGGGCAUCUUGCUGGUCGCUGUCAGCCUGUUGGUGACAGGCCUCCUGGCCGUGCGCUCUGUGGGUGUCCUGGUGAAAUGUACCUGCCACUUUCACCACAGACUCAACAAGCCCUUGAUGAACUAUGGAGGCACUGCAAUGCAGUGCUAGAGGCCAGCCCCCAUGCCUGGCUCCAUGACCACGCCCACUGGGGGAGGUAACUUGUCCUCUCCUUGUUUGGGAUGGGGAAGGAUGAUGGAUCCCGUCGAGGUCCCACAAAUCCUGUAGUCCAAUGUUGGUAUCUGUCCCUCUGGAAAUACAGUUCUAAUUAAUAUUAAUACUUUCAGGUAUCCUAAAGAGUUGUUCUCAAAGUUAGUCCCCAGUCCAGCUGCAUCAGUACCACCUGGGAACUUAUUAGAAAUGCAAAUAUUUCAACCCCACCCAGACAUACUGAUCAGAAACCGCGGAUGGGGCCCAGAAAUCUGUAUUUUAACAAGACAUCCAGAUGAUUCUAAUUCACACAAAAGUUUGAGAACCACUG